rnacentral:lncRNA from 1 species
GAGCUUUUUGCCCAGGUGUUUCCAGCAAGGCCCCAGGGGGGCCCCAGGGGCAACACCUGGGGGCACUGUGCAGGGAGGGCAUUUAUCGAGCAGCUCAGGCCUUCCUUAGCUUUUUGUGUGGCAGUUGCGGGGCUGUCUGCUGCCUGAUGUCCCACUUGGGCUCAAGCUUUUGGCUGUUUUUGUUUUGUGGUUACAUUUCCCCAUGGCUGUAGGGGCAGCCUGGCUUUUGGAUCUGCUCAGCUUUGCCUCCCUCGACCUCCCAGCUGCGUGGAUAAGAUUGCAGGGCACGGAAUAUUAUCCUCAAACAAGGGUCUCAUCUGGAGAGCUCCAGGCACGCUGGCGAUGGGCAGGAGACGCGAUCUUACCCGCUUCUGCAUUCCGGACAAGCGGCGCCAACGUUUCAAGUGAGAAGCUGGCAUGACUCCAGCAACCAAAAAACCAAACCCGUGAAACGCAGAAGUGCGGUGCCCAAGGUCUGCAAAGUGCUUUGUCCUUGUGCUUCACGGAAGGGGUCACCCCAGACAGAGCUCUCCUCCUGCCCCACCACAAGCUGAUGGAGCCACUGCUCCACGGAGCCCUCCAGCCAUAAUAUCAGACAGCUGGGACCUGCUACGGACCUCCAGGGUGUUGAUACAGG